rnacentral:rRNA from 1 species
UACGGGGGGGGCAAGCGUUGUUCGGAAUUACUGGGCGUAAAGGGCUCGUAGGCGGCCAACUAAGUCGGAUGUGAAAUCCCCAGGCUUAACCUGGGAACUGCAUCCGAUACUGGAUGGCUUGAAUCCGGGAGAGGGAUGCGGAAUUCCAGGUGUAGCGGUGAAAUGCGUAGAUAUCAAGAGGAACACCUGAGGUGAAGACGGGUUGCUGGGCCGACACGUGACGCUGAGUGCGCGAAAGCCAGGGGAGCAAACGGGAUUAAGAA